rnacentral:lncRNA from 1 species
AGCCAGGCCAGCCCUUGGGAGACACACUCUCCACACCUGAGUUAGGUAGCUGCCUGGGAACAAGAAUCUGGGGCUCAGAGACUCUCAGUUGUGUCAGGGUUUUCUCUACAUCCUCAGGACCUCUGGGUAGGGGUUUCAAAGUUGGUGACCCCAGAACCACCCUCACCCUCACAUUGGAUCAAGCCUUGUGUGCCUAGUGCUAUAUUGUAACCUGGGCUUGGGCCUGGAGCCCCUGCUUGCAAGGCCACAGGACCUCUUCCUGCCCACUUGGUGCUAUCUCAUCAUGUCCAUCUAUCAGGGCAGCCUGGGCUCCUGGAGCCUGUGGGCCAGGUGCCGUGGGUGGCCCUCAAGAGCUUAGCUCUCUCUGGCUCCUGAUCCUAGAUUUUUUUUUCCUUUGAAGCUUUCUCUUGGCUCCAGAGAUGUCAGAGUUAGGGAAGGAAAUGAGCCAGGCUGAGGCGAGGAGAUCCACCCCUAUGCCACAGUGAGCACACCAGCCCAGCCCCUUUCCCGCCACACCAGUAUUACACCCAUUCUUUAAAGCAUCUAGUCCCACCUGAGGCACAUGCCAUUCAGUGGCCCAGCUGCCCAGUGCAGACUAGAAACCUAGGCCGGGGAUGGGGACGUUUCUCUGCACCCCUACUUCAGAAGAGGCAUGUUGCACUUUAGUGGGGAACCCAGAACGUUGGGCACUGGCUUCCUGUAGCUUGAGUCCCUGUAGAUAGCCAUGGUGGCAGCCUGAUGGCUUGUGUGAAGCAGCUGCAGCUGCUGCCAGCUGUGCACAUGUGUGCAGCUCCUAGAGUCAAAUUGCCGGCCUGAUGAUGACAUCACAAAGAUGUGUUCUGUUCAACUUUGCCUUGGUAAUUAUUGUAAACACUUUGUUCAAUUUUUUUUUCUUUUUUUAUUCACAAACUAAAUCCAUCAGGAAAUUAUAAACUUAUUUAAAAAC